rnacentral:rRNA from 1 species
AGCGAACGCUGGCGGCGUGCCUAACACAUGCAAGUCGAACGGGAAAAGGGAAACCUGAGUCAGGUGGCGUACGGGUGAGUAACGCGUAGGUAAUCUACCCCAGAAUCUGGAAUAACCUGCCGAAAGGCGGGCUAAUACUGGAUAGAGCGAGGGAACUCGUAAGAGAGGUUUUCGGGGAAGGGAGCCCGCAAGGUCCUUCGGUCUGGGAUGAGCAUGCGUCUUAUUAGCUAGUGGGUAAGGUAACGGCUUACCAAGGCGAUGAUGAGUAGCUGGCCUGAGAGGAUGCGCAGCCUAACUGGAACUGAAACACGGUCCACCACCCUACGGGAGGCAGCAGUCGGGAAUCUUGCGCAAUGGACGAAAGUCGGACGCAGCCACGACGCGUGAGAGACGAAGGCAUCCGGGUUGCAAAGCUCUGUAGGAUGGGAGGAAUAUAUUCAUAGUGAAUAGCUAUGAGGAAUGACGGUACCAUCAAAGGAAGCACCGGCUAACUCCGUG